UCUCUGACUCACCUCUCUCAAAUUCUAGAGACAGAAACAAGCACAAAUUCUAGAGAGAGAGAGAGCAUAGAUGGAGUAAUAAGGAAACAAAUGAGGAUGAAAUGAGGAUGAAAUUCCUAUUUGAUUGGAAUGCGUCUAUCAUACAUGGGAUAUGAUAUUAUAAGCAUUAUGCAGGUUAAUAAGGCAAAAGGAUAAAUAAUCAAUAUAUUAAAAUGAUGUUAGAUUAUCCUUCAGAAGCCUACGUUGAUGCCAGGUAUUAAAAUGGCGGCUAAAUCACCUAUAACUUACAAAAAAAAGAUGGGAAGUAUCCUCAUGUCUCUCAUAAGUCUAAUGGAGUAUGCAAAAGACUGCUUUCGAAGAUUGGGGUAACCAAUGAAGUGGAACAUUUAGAUCUAUCAAGUCAAAUAUCUUGUGAUGGUGGUAAGCUUUAAUAAUUUACCAUUUUGAACGCAAAUCCACUUAUUAGUUGAUGUUUAUGUCCCUUCUAGGCUCAUAUAAUACAAGAAAAGCCACUUAUUAAUUGCACAUGUUCGAUAUAAGUUUUUUUGUAAAUAAAGAAUCUUCAAAAGCAUGUGACAAUAAAGAACACCAAAUUCUUUCCAAUAUAGAUCCAUAUGAGGGGAAGAACGGUCCCUCAUUCAAUGGUUGUGCAGAGUCAGUAGUAGAAACGGUAAGCAUCACCUUCUUUUCAUGGAUCAUAUUGAUACAGAUUAUUUAUCUUUAGGUAUAUUAUGUUUUACAUGCAUGGCACCUUAGUGCAUAUAGCGAUUUAUCUGAGUGACAAUUCAAUCUUGCUAUUACUAAUGGUUGACACUUGACACCACUUGCACUGAAUUGAACAUUUGGCUUGACUUCUGAUGCAAGUUUAGACAUGUAAGAGUUGAUAUGUUUGAUAUUGUGUGCAAUGUGUUUUAAUCAUGGAAAUAUGUGUUUAUGUAUAUUCAGUAAAAUAUAUGUUUUUAAUAAAUGUUUUGAAUUAUUUAUGUUAUUUCAAUGUUAUCACUUCAUUAAUUUUUUUAAUUUGGAUAUUUAUUCUAAGAUUUAAUUGUAUGCAUUUAGGAGCUCAGAUUUUACUAUUUAAUGAAAAUUUAUUCAUUGGAGAUUACUUUGGCUACUUCCCUUGUAUAUUCUUAAAAAAGUAAAUAGUGAACUGUCAAUGUUCUCUUUACUUCACAUUAUUUGCAAUGAUGAUUUUAAUUUCAAGAUUCUUUUCUACUUUAUGUUCACGUAAUGUUAGAUUCAGAUACGCUGUUAGCUUAUUUUAACAGGCCUGACGAUAACCUAUUUGAUGGAGGUACCCAUUUGAAACCAAUACUCAUUAAAAUAUUUUAUUUUAUUCCAAUAUAAAAAAAACCUAAUUGAUGUGAUCUUUGUAUAGUUAAUGGGGGGUAAAUUAAUACCCCUCUUGAUCAAUUGGACGCCAAUAACUUUUCCAAUUUCUAAACGCCUGACAUGACAUACUAGACUUCUAUAUAAAUGAACCAUGUCUUAAUUUGUGGAAAAGUUAUGCAUCAAAAUUAUAAGUCGUUUGAUAAUUCCAAUAAGUCAUUAAUACUAUUUUCCUAUUCUUUAAUUAAGUAUUUAUUAUACUUUCUUGUUUCCCUUCUUUAAAUUUAUCUUUCCCAUAACUUUAAUGAAAGACAAUUUUGUAAAACCCUUUAUAAUUUAUACUCCCUCCUUCCAAUAAGGAUUACAUUUCUUAUUAUGUGUGAAAAAACAAAAACAACUUAUUGUGUAAAAAAGAAAAAUUAUGAAGGAGUUUACAAAAUUGUCUUUCACUAUUGGUACGAGGAAGAUAAACUUACAUAAUUCAAAGAAGAGUGGAUAGAAUUGGGAAAAUAGUAUUGAUGGUUUAUUGGUAUUGUAAAACGGCCUCUAAUUUGAUACAUAAAUUUGUGAUUUUGUUGAUGGUAAUAUAUAUAUAUAUUAUUUGUUUAAUUGUCUUGAUUUAAUGUGUGUCUUGAAAAUUUUAAAUUUCAUAACUUUCAACAGAACAAUCUUGAUUAUUCUUUAAUGGAUAUGGUGUGAUGUAUUAAAGAAACAAAUUAGGAUGAUAAUUAAUGUCUGAUUAGAAUGCAUGUACCGUACAUGGAAUGUGUUUUUCAAUAAUCUGCCAACUACUAUGUGAUGAUAUGAUAUUAUAAGCGUUAUGUAGCACAUUUAUAGUUUGUGUGUGAACAAUUUUUUUUCAAUUCAUGCACAUAUGUUUUGUAUGACUUGUUGUUUUUGUUUCUUAGGUUAAUAAGGGGGAGGAAAAAGGUCUGUAGAUUGAAAUGAUGUUAAACUAUCCAUCUGAAGCCUAGCGUUGAUACCAGCAGUGAAAAUUUAGAUCUAUCAAGCCAAAUAACUUUUAAUGGUUUUUUUUUAAAUAAAUAAUCUUCAAAGGAGGGUGAUAAUGAAGAAAACUAAAUUCCUACAAAUGUAGAUGCAUUUGAGGGGAAGAACUGUCUCUCAUUCAAUGGUUGUGCAGAGUCAGUAGUAGAAACGGAUCCUUUUCUAGUUUAUGUUCGCGCAAUGAUAGACUCAAAUGCGCUCUUAGCUUAUUUUAACAUGCCUGACGAUAACCUAUUUGAUGGAGGUUAAUAAGGUGGAGAAAAAGGGUCUGUAGAUUGAAAUGAUGUUAAGCUAUCCAUCUGAAGCCUAACGUUGAUGCCAGCAGUGAAAAUUUAGAUUUAUCAAGCCAAAUAUCUUGUAAUGGUUUUUUUUAAAUAAAUAUUCUUCAAAGGAGGGUGAUAAUGGAGAAAACUAAAUUCCUAGAAAUGUAGAUGCAUUUAAGGGGAAGAACGGUCUCUCAUUCAAUGGUUGUGCAGAGUCAGUAGUAGAAACGGAUCCUUUUCUAGUUUAUGUUCGAUUCAUAUGCGCUCUUAGCUUAUUUUAACAGGCCUGACGAUAACCUAUUUGAUGGAGGUUAAUAAGGUGGAGGAAAAGGGUCUGUAGAUUGAAAUGAUGUUAAACUAUCCUUCUGAAGCCUAGCGUUGAUGCCAACAGUGAAAAUUUAGAUCUAUCAAGCCAAAUAUCUUGUAAUGGUAGUAAGCUUUAAUACUUUACCAUUUUCAAAGCAAAUCUACAUAUUUGUGGAUUUUUAUGACUCUUCUAGGCUCAGAUAAUGCAAGAAAAGCCACUUAUUAAUUGCACAUGUUCGAUGUAGGUUUUUUUUUUUUUAAAAAAUUCUUCCAAGGAGGGUGACAAUGAAGAAAACAAAAUGCCUAACACUGUACAUGUUUGUUUUUUCUACUCUCUAUGUGUGUUUCAUAUUUCUCUUCCUCCUCAUGCUUAUUAAAAUUCAUUGAAUGAUGAUAAUACUUGAACUACCGAUUUAUGCAGAAACCAAGUUUAAAUUCGGUAUCCACUAGAUUAGAGCAAGCCAACAAGGCAAUUUAUGAGGUUCUCAGCACAACUUUGGUUAUCGAUAAUUUUAAAAUAGAUUUCUUCUCUUCGGGAUUAAGCCGACACACAACUGGAUGCCUUUGUAGUUUGGUGUCCAUUAUGAAUACAACAAAUGAUUAUGAUGGAAUUUUCUUUGUUUUAUGCUUUUAUAUAAAAAUUGACGUAUUCAAAAAUAUGAUAUAAGUUUUAUUAAUUAUUAGGGUUACACAUAUAUUUUGUUUUGUUUGAAUAUUUUGGAUAUUGGGAAAAUAAACCGUGAAUAAUGAAUUCAAUGUUUGGAUUGGAGGGGUUUAGUUUUCAAUAUAGCGAAACAAAC